rnacentral:rRNA from 1 species
UGCCAGCCGCCGCGGUAAUACGGAGGGAGCUAGCGUUGUUCGGAAUUACUGGGCGUAAAGCGCGCGUAGGCGGAUCGACAAGUUGGGGGUGAAAUCCCGGGGCUUAACCCCGGAACUGCCCUCAAAACUGUCGAUCUAGAGACCGGGAGAGGUAAGCGGAAUUCCUAGUGUAGAGGUGAAAUUCGUAGAUAUUAGGAAGAACACCAGUGGCGAAGGCGGCUUACUGGCUUGAUAUUGACGCUGAGGUGCGAAAGCGUGGGGAGCGAACGGGAUUAGAUA